UUUGUAUUUUUUAUUUUAUAUCAGUGUAUAUUUGUACAUUAACACUGUUUGCAGUCUUGAAUUAACAUUUGAUUUGAAAAAAUCAUUAGUUUUAAUACGUUUUGUCUUUUUCAGUAGGAGGAACAGAAACUUCAACACGCUCGAGGAAAACAGACACAACACCUUCAUCAGAACCGUCUCAGAGCACAACAACAAACUCUCCACCUGCAUCAUCCUCAACAACACUGGAACAAGAUAAACAGCAAACACACAGCAGCCUCCUUCUAGUUUUCAGCAUUCUGGCGGUUUUAUUUUUGGUGAUACCCGGACUACUGGCAUUUAUUUGUUGGAGACGCAAAGGAGGAAGACGUGGAGAGAACGUGAUUACUGAAGGACGUCCGGACUGUAAGAGAAAGUAUAAGGAUCAGACUGAACCUGAUGUUAGUUACUCUACUGUAACCCACGUGAACACAGCCGGAGCAGCACGGGUCCAGAUCAACGCUGGAGACAAAACUGAAUAUGCCAGCAUUCUAACAAUCUAAUCCACAGUAAAUAUACAUACAUUUAUAUAUUAUAUAUAAUGUUUUCAUACCAUUAAAAAGCAAAUUCAUCAGAUUCAUCCAGAGUAUUGUGUUACAUUUACUUUAGCUAAGGUUAUUGUUCUGCAUUCACUGUUAAUGUCUGUUAAUGAAUAAAAAAACUGCAGAUGGAUAAAUCUUGCUAAUUAUAUUUUGAGUGUACAUGUCAAUUUUUAUGUUAUGCAUAUUAUUCUUAUAUAAUCAAUUAAAGUUCUAGAAGUUUUUGCCAUCAUACUGUUUUGUGCAAAAAGACGUAUGCUGUAUAUACUGUAUGUAGCCAAAUGUAAAAAUAUGACAGUGUACAUGUUGAGUGUGGAGUAUUACAGAGUAUUCUCUGUGCAUGCCACAGCGUCAGUUAACUGAUGCUGUGGGAAACAGGAAGUAGCCAUUUUCCCAUCAGCCCCCAUGCUGUCCUGCCACAAUCAUGUGGUUACUCUGACAUACUGAGUGUCCCACACUGGCUCUAACAUGAGAGCAUUAUUUAUGUUCACAACUGUGGUUUUAUUAACACUGCCAGAGGUGGUGAAAAUCACUCAGAUACCAUCCUGUGUGCAUACAUGCUGAGACCAUUCAACAUAGUCACAAAGUAAUGUACAACAAAGUAUUUGCAGUAUAUCACUGUCAUAUUGACGUCUUUCCCUGGAAACUUCUUACAUUUACUCUGGAACCAUAGUUACAUGCUUAACUAGCAUACUGUUUCAACUUCACUUUAUAUCUACCUUAACAGAAAUGACUGUAAUAAACAAAAUUCUAUGAUUUACAAAAAUGCUGUACCUACGUUAAUUUGACAACUAGUGUGGCUAUAAAACAGAAGGUGGUUCUUCAAAACUGACA